rnacentral:rRNA from 1 species
UACAGAGACCUCAAGCGUUAUCCGGAAUCAUUGGGCGUAAAGCGUACCGAUAGGUGGUUUUACAAGUCAGAAGUGAAAUCUCAAAGCUUAACUUUGAGUCUGUCUUUUGAAACUGUAAAACUAGAGGGGCAAAGAGGAAGCUGGAACGAACGGUGUAGUAGUGAAAUGCGUUGAUAUCGUUCGGAACACCGAUAGCGUAGGCAGGCUUCUGGGUGCCACCUGACACUGCUAGGACGAAAGCGUGGGGAGCGAAUGGG